rnacentral:misc_RNA from 1 species
UUCCGAUGAUGGGCAUAAAGGCAGUAUUUAUGCUGUCAGCUGGAGUUCGGAUGGAAAAUGGGUGCUGACUGUCUCUGCCGACAAGACAGCAAAAGUCUGGGAGAUAUCUGAUGAUGGUAAUGGGAAGUUAGAGAAAACCUUGACUUCUCCUGGCACGGGUGGUGUUGAUGAUAUGCUGGUUGGGUGUUUAUGGCAGAAUCAACAUCUUGUCACAAUUUCUCUUGG